UACGUAGGGUGCGAGCGUUAAUCGGAAUUACUGGGCGUAAAGCGUGCGCAGGCGGUUCGUUGUGUCGGCGGUGAAAGCCCCGGGCUUAACCUGGGAAUGGCGAUGGUGACUGCAAGGCUAGAGUUUGGCAGAGGGGGGUAGAAUUCCACGUGUAGCAGUGAAAUGCGUAGAUAUGUGGAGGAACACCGAUGGCGAAGGCAGCCCCCUGGGUCAAAACUGACGCUCAUGCACGAAAGCGUGGGGAGCAAACAGG
rnacentral:rRNA from 1 species